GUGUUCUCUGUCAUUUCAGGCUGCAGGAAGCUUCUCAACAAUUUCUGAGACCUAAUGCAGAAAAGGGGGCAAAUGUAAAUAAAGGCAAUGAGUGCAUGAGGACCUGAAGCCUGAAAAAAACUCCAAAGAAAUUUCAUUGCCAGCAUUUCUGACUGUGGAAGAACUCAAAAUGUGCCAAUGAGGUAGAGGUCAAGAACUGAGGAUCCAGGUUGUAGACAGCCCCCCAUAAAAAUGUUGUCUCUUUUCACCUGCUGAUUCUUCACAGUCCUCACACAGCCUUUUGUUAUUUUGAUAAACCUACUAAUACCGAGGAGCUGGUCUAAUUGCCACCCAUCCCUGGAGAUAAGUGGGAGAGAUGGGAAAGCAGAUGUAGAAGUCUCGAAACAAAAGCGAGUACAAAGCUAUGCAGAACACCAGUGAUUUAUGAAGGAGACAUUAACAUUAUCGAGCAUUGUUUUGGGAAGCCAGUGUGCAGAGAAUUAACAGUUUCAACGGAAAAGAAAAAAGGAGCACAGCUGGGCCUGCCUGAGCAAGCACAUUAGCAUGGAGAAAGCCUGAGGAAAAGGAUUUAGAGGCGGGAGUUAAAAGCAGGGUCUCUGAGCUCUGGCUCUGAGCUGAGCAAACAGUGAGUUCUGUUUAUUUGGACCGGCCACUGCUUAGGGCGCAAAGCUAGUGCUGUCGCUAUGGACAUACAGCUGGGACAUCUGACCCAUCACCAUGUCUGCUUCUAACUGAAACAACCUGCAAACCUCACAAACUUUGGCUAAACAGCAAAGCUGAGAAACACAAUGAUGUCUACUGUUUUUAAGGUUAAAAGACCUUAACAUCUGUCAUGUUGAGAGAGUGAAUUUGCACCACUUGCAUGGGAGCUAGGACUUGGACAGCAUGGGCCAUUCAGGCCUGGUUCUCGCUGCCCAUAUCCUCACUCCCCUCCUGGGAGGCUUCAGUGGAUACCCAUUGCCAGCCCACACCUGUGUGGGACUGCCCAGCACGUGCUCCAAUGCUUACAAGCAACUCUGACUCAAACCUCUUGCCUCAGAUAUUUUGUGGAUUGUCUUGCUGGCCUGUGACUUCAUGUAAAAAGUAGCUAUUACACUGCAACAUAUCAUUUGCCAGAGUUGAAAGACUGAAAACAUGCAGGUGUCUUUUCUUUCACCCCUGAUUAGAAGUAUUCGCUAGGGACAAGUAACUUUUUAUUAAGCUUUCACAGGUAUAAGUGUAUUCCAGUAGACUCCUAAAGAAACAAAAAUCCCUAUUAGCCUACUCUUACCUGUAAAGGAAACAUAUUCCCACCCACUAAGAAAAAUUGCCUAGACUAACAACCUAAAUAGUUUGAAACAAGAUUUACUUAAAGCAAGAUUGUUUUAACAAUUUUGUUUAUCGGGAGAGAUAGGUCUUACUCAAUACUUCUGACAGCUACAUAUGUGCAGUUAAUAAGUAAUUUUGUGUGUGUGUAAUAGUUCAAUGAAUCAUUUGCAUUGAAAAAAAAAAAAACUAUGCUGAGAGAGAAACAGGUGAUAGUGUCAAAUGCAGCUCUGUGUGUAACACACAGGUAAAGCGGUUGUUACACCUCAUGAUACCUGACAAUCUUUCUGGAAAGUCCUACUAAAAUUUAACUUCCCUGUCUGAGAUUUGAAUUUAAAAAUAAUAAAAAUUUAAACAGCAUAAAAAUAAUGCACAAAGUGGUUGUUACACUUUAGGAUUCCUGACAAUCUUUCUGGAAAGUCCCACCAAACUUUACCUUCUCUCUCUGAGAUUUGAAUUUAAAAAUAAUAAAAAUUUAAACAGCAUAAAAAUAAUCAGUAAAUACUCACCUCUAGACAGGCCAGGUCUUGCUGGAGUGAAUGAACAGGUGAGCGGACAAAACAAUUAUCUUUGACUAGAAAGGCAGGGCUCUGGCCCAGCCAAUUGGGAUUUGUCAUUUGUGAAAGCCUUAGCAUAAUUAUAGGGUAGUUGAUUAAAGGUGUCUCCUGACACAGCUGACUGCAGUAAGUAGUAUAAUAACACAUUACCUGUUAGAGGUCUUGCACCAUGUUCCAUCCUUUACUGAACAAAUUCUUUGAAAGACUUUUUUUCUACAAUAAGAAAUACAGUUUGACUUAAUUUUGUUUUUUGAUGUAAUAGUGACUUGUUCAAUGGAGGUAAAUUUUUUUUUCAUGGCUAUACAGAGGUGGGGUGGGGGAAGCAAAACCGUGUUCUGCUUUGCCAGAGUGUAGAGUACCCCCAGGCGGUGGAUCCAUGCAGAGUGGAAAACAAGGUCGACGGAAGA